AAGUCGAGCGACAGACGAGGAGCUUGCUCCUCUGACGUUAGCGGCGGACGGGUGAGUAACACGUGGAUAACCUACCUAUAAGACUGGGAUAACUUCGGGAAACCGGAGCUAAUACCGGAUAAUAUAUUGAACCGCAUGGUUCAAUAGUGAAAGACGGUUUUGCUGUCACUUAUAGAUGGAUCCGCGCCGCAUUAGCUAGUUGGUAAGGUAACGGCUUACCAAGGCAACGAUGCGUAGCCGACCUGAGAGGGUGAUCGGCCACACUGGAACUGAGACACGGUCCAGACUCCUACGGGAGGCAGCAGUAGGGAAUCUUCCGCAAUGGGCGAAAGCCUGACGGAGCAACGCCGCGUGAGUGAUGAAGGUCUUCGGAUCGUAAAACUCUGUUAUUAGGGAAGAACAAAUGUGUAAGUAACUAUGCACGUCUUGACGGUACCUAAUCAGAAAGCCACGGCUAACUACGUGCCAGCAGCCGCGGUAAUACGUAGGUGGCAAGCGUUAUCCGGAAUUAUUGGGCGUAAAGCGCGCGUAGGCGGUUUUUUAAGUCUGAUGUGAAAGCCCACGGCUCAACCGUGGAGGGGCAUUGGAAACUGGAAAACUUGAGUGCAGAAGAGGAAAGUGGAAUUCCAUGUGUAGCGGUGAAAUGCGCAGAGAUAUGGAGGAACACCAGUGGCGAAGGCGACUUUCUGGUCUGUAACUGACGCUGAUGUGCGAAAGCGUGGGGAUCAAACAGGAUUAGAUACCCUGGUAGUCCACGCCGNNAACGAUGAGUGCUAAGUGUUAGGGGGUUUCCCCCCUUAGUGCUGCAGCUAACGCAUUAAGCACUCCGCCUGGGGNGGACGACCGCAAGGUGGAACUCAAAGGAAUGACGGGGACCCCCCCAGCGGUGGAGCAGUGGGUUAUUCGAAGCACGCGAAGAACUUACCAAUCUUGAAUCCUCUGACCCUCUCGA
rnacentral:rRNA from 1 species